CAAAAGGGUUAGGUUUGUGUAUGGGAUUCCCUAUGCCCCCUGAAUGCACCAUGGGUGCGCAUGUCCGCAGCUUUAGUUCAGAGACAAACGGCAGCCGAACAACGGGCAGUGUGUGCGUUCAUAAGACCGUAAGUUAAUGUUUUACUUCACUCAGUUACGUUGGGGUUCAGCCAUGAGCGUAUUUGAUGACUUACCAGCAGUUUCUGCUUCUGUUUAAGUGAUGUUAUGUAUCAGUGGCAGUUCGCUAGCAUAACAGAUUUGUUCGCUAAUUAGCUGCUAGCAGGGAGAUUCGUUGUUAUCAUGUUGUUGAUUCUGUGCUCUGUGUAACAGAUGAUGAACCAAUGUAAAGUUGCCUUCAGUGCAUAGUUGUACGUGGUGUGUUAAUGCAUAAUGUCUGACUUUAAGUUUAUGUAACCAGUCUGAAGUAUAAUGUCAGUUUAUUUAGUUAUACACUGUACUUGAGUACACCUCAGUUGUAUCUUUAUGUUUAUUAUGUAAUUUGAUUUCUAAGUGAUUUGUAUCAUUAUGCUUUGUCUGCAGAAACCACACACACACACACAAUACAAAGACUGAGAACUUUAUUCCUGGACUCUGCCUGUUUGUUCUUCCCACAUCUGAACAUUUGCAAGUGUUCUGACCCGACACUCUGAAGUGAUUGCUGCCAGCUCAGAUUUCCUUAACCCUUCUAAACAUUUGGUCCUUCGAGCCGGAUGAGAGCAACUGCUUCAGCCUUAUAUGUUCAGGAUGGAAGACCGAUAUCCAUACAGAGAGUCUGACCGCCCACGCAGACAUAGCAAGCUGCCAUCAUACCUCCAGAAUUAUGAAGUGGACGACUUCGCUAAGAACCGACUCUCUUAUGAUGAUCAGGGCAAGCAUUCUACUCAUCCUGAAAUUCUCCAAUAUAUUCAUCAUAUGAAAGAGGAACACAAUCAGCUCCGACUAGAUGUGCAACGCCUGACAGAACUGAUCUCUAGCUCUCCUGUACUAGCUCCACAGCAUGCCACGACACGGUCUGGACAUUGUGAGGAUGUGACAUCAACCACACCUGCCCACACUAGUAAGCUGGUGCCAAUCAGAGGGCAGAAGAGCCCACAUCAGCCUGAAAGUGCUCCACAGGUGCCAUUUGGGGAUGAGUCUCAACAUCCAAAGGACAGCCAGCAGGGCCUGAUCGAGGAGCUCACGCACAGUCUAAAUGAAGCAGAUCUUGACAGGGAGUGCAGCGCACAGUCACCAUCACCUUCGGUCGACUCAUGCCCUGAAUCUCAAGAUUUUCUUCCACCAAUGACACCAGGUGAGAGGCCCCCUUCACUUCAAGCUUCAGCAGCAAGGGGACGGUCACCGUAUUAUGCAGGACAAAGAAGGGUUGAUGAGGUGUAUGCUCGUCGCCACAGGAACUACAGUCAGCCUGCCACUUCUCCUAGAUUGCCAAGGCUAGGGGCCGGCUCUGAAGAUGACCCAUACUACAGACAAGAUGACAGGUAUCCUACCCCUGGUCACCCAAGCUGCCCUGACAGUCACUAUCGUUCUCCUUAUGGAUAUGGGUAUCAGGAUUCGAGUCAUCCGUACAGGCGCUGUGGUAACUACCCAGAUGACCGCCGACAGUGUCCACCCGAUCGUCUGCAACCAGGUGGGUGCCCUCAGACACCACUCUCUCUCAGCAGAGCCCAACCAAUAGAGACUUAUCGUGGACCUCAACCAACGAUCCCUGACUUUGUGCACGAGGACCCACGUGAGUUUGCAAGAUUAAAGUUAGCUCUAGAUAACAUACUUCCACUUGAUGCUCCUGAACACUUCAAGUUCCAGAUCUUGACAGAUCACCUUAAGUGUGAAGAUGCACUACUUGUAGCUGACUCAUACAGUAACAGUCCAUUCCCAUUUGCUGACACCAUGAGAGCACUUACAGAAAUGUAUGGGCAACCUCAACAUCUGGCCUUAAAAAGGAUUACCAAACUGAUGGAUGGACCCAACAUUAGGAGUGGUGACAUCAGAGCCUUCAAGUCUUUUGCCCUCCAAGUCUGUGCGCUAGUGGGGAUGCUACACCAGUUGGGAGAACAAGGUCGGACAGAGUUGAGGUGUGGCUCACAUGUAUCUCGCCUCUUAGCUAAGUUACCUUAUGACCUAAGAGCAAAUUUCCAGAGAUUUGUUAAUCCCCUCAACACUCCUAUACCAACACUGCUUGAUCUGGCUGAAUGGCUCGAGUAUGAGGUGCGUGUCCAGGUAAUUGGAGACCAAUACUGUGACCACUCCGAUAGGGAGAGGCAAGUUUCACGGAAGGAGAGACGUCCUGAGCAUAAGUUUCAGAAGGCUACCACCAUUCUCCAUGGUAGUGAGCCCAGGAGAAAGAUGGAAGGUGACAUGGCAGCGACACAAGAAAGGCCCAAGAAGUACUGCCCAUUCUGUAAUACGGUGCAGCAUUACCUGAAUCAGUGCAGUAACUUCAAACUCUUGUCGAAGGAGCAGAAGACAGAGUGGAUUAAGGUGAAUAAGAGGUGCUGGCGAUGCGCCCGUGAUCAUCAAGCAGCUAAGUGUAACCUCAAAGCCAAGUGUAAACCAUGUGGGCGGCGACAUCUGGAAGUUCUUCAUGAUGUCAAUACCAGCCCAGAUGCUACAGCCUCUGAUUCAACCAGUGCACCAGAGGAAAGCACGUGCUUAGUAAGCUCCACUUCUGAGACACUGUACGUAGACCGGCAAACCAAUAGCAGUCAGGUGCUACUCAAGCUAAGUCGUGUCAUCAUUAGGAGCAGUACCAAGAUGGUUGAAACCUAUGCUAUACUGGAUGAUGGUUCAGAGCGUACCAUACUUCUGCAUGAAGCAGCUGAUCGCUUGGGGCUGCAUGGGGAAGCUGAAGACCUAGCACUCCGCACUGUCCGUCAAGAUAGCUGUACCAUCCAUGGUGCCGCUGUGUCAUUCUCCAUUUCUCCUGCCUCACAGCCUAACAAGUCCUUCCAGAUCCACCGAGCCUUCACAGCAAAGGAACUUGGCCUAGCACGCCAUAGUUACCCAAUAAGAGCAUUACAGGAGCGGUACCGUCACCUUAAGCACCUGCCACUGCCAGACAUAAAGGAAGUACAGCCCCUUCUGCUUAUUGGGUCGGAUAAUCCACAUCUUCUCACUCCUGUGGAGCCAGUACGUCUAGGCCCUCCAGGUGGACCAGCAGCUGUGCACACCCGACUUGGAUGGACUUUGCAGGGUCCAUCGAGAUUCCUACGUCAGCGGCUAACCCCACAGCAGUGUCUCUUCACCUCUGGGGCCUCACCAGAAGCUGAGCUCUUCAGCCAUGUUGAGAGACUCUGGAAGAUGGAAAUCUUGCCAUACCGGAGUGAACGACUCAUUACCAGGUCCCGGCAAGACGCUGAGGCCAUUCAGAGACUUGAAGAACGGACAAUUCGAGUAACAAUUGAUGGAGUAAACCGCUACGCCACCCCACUACUGUGGAAGAAGAAUCUUCCCCCACUUUGUGCUACACCAGAGGCAGUUUUGGCCCAGCUUCGUGGUACAGAGAAACGACUUGCCAGAGAACCACAGAAGGCAGCUGCCUACUCUCUGGAAAUCCAAAAACUGCUGCAGGCUGGCUUCGUCACAGCUGUUGCACCGGAAGAGGCCGCAGUGUGUAACUGUUCGUGGUUUAUCCCCCAUCACAUGGUGCACCACAACGGGAAGGACAGGAUAGUGUUCAACUGUUCCUUCACCUACAAGGGUCAGAGCCUGAACGACUGCCUUCUUCCAGGGCCUACACUGGGAGCUAGCCUGUUGGGAGUCCUUCUCAGGUUCAGGGAACACCCAGUCGCCUUCAGCAGUGACAUAAAGGGGAUGUUCCAUCAGGUCCGUCUGCUAGAUGAGGACAAACGCUUUCUCUGUUUCCUGUGGCGAGACAUGGAGGUAGACGAAAAACCCACCAUCUACCAGUGGCAGGUGCUUCCCUUUGGGACUACAUGCAGUCCGUGCUGCGCUACCUUUGCACUUCAACACCAUGUCCACAAACACACUGAGCCAGGGGAGGAUGCUCGUCUGUCCAUAGAACGUAAUUUCUAUGUUGACAACUGUUUGCAGAGCCUCCCAUCAGAAGGCCAAGCCAAGAAGUUGGUGGAUCGCCUGCAGUCUCUCCUCUUGGAGGGUGGAUUUGAACUACGACAAUGGGCUAGCAAUGUCCACACGGUCAUCAGCCACCUACCAGUUGAGUCCCAGUCAGAGGGUAGCGUUCUCUGGCUCUCCCAGGAGUCAGCCGAUCCUCAAGAGCGCACUCUAGGGCUCGUAUGGCACUGUAAGAGUGAUGCACUCCGGUACAAGCAUCAGCAGAGCGUCAGUUCAGAGCCAACAAUGCGCAACAUUUAUCGGCUGCUCGCCCAGCAGUAUGAUCCUCUCGGGUUUCUUAUUCCAUAUACAACCAGAGCAAAGGUCAUCGUGCAACACCUCUGGGACAAGAAAAGAGGAUGGGAUGAUCCUCACUUACCUGAGAAUCUGCUCCAUGCCUGGCGUUUGUGGGAAAGUGAACUUGGCCAGCUCUCACAGAUAACACUGCCGAGAUGCUACACUGACCCACACUCGGAUUGUAGUAAGAGCCAUCGAAGCCUUCAUGUGUUCUGUGAUGCCUCUGAGCGUGCCUAUGGGUCUGUGGCAUAUCUACGCACCGACCAAGGGGAAGGAAAGGUCCAGGUGGCUUUUUUGGCUGCAAGGUCGAGAGUUGCACCCAAGAAGCAACUCUCAAUUCCAAGGCUAGAGUUGUGUGGAGCCCUUACAGGAGCACAGCUGGCUUCUGUUCUGAAGAAAGAACUGACCCUUGACAUCCAAGAUGUGGUGUUCUGGACAGACUCGACUACAGUGCUUAACUGGCUCCAUUCAGAUUCAUGCAGAUAUAAAGUCUUUGUGGGAACCAGAGUUGCAGAGGUACAAGAACUCUCUGCUGGAGCCUCUUGGCGGUACGUGGACUCAGGAACCAAUCCAGCAGACGGUAUCACGAGAGGGAAAACUGUGGCUCAGCUUGCUGGUGAGAAUCGAUGGAGCCGGGGGCCACCAUUUCUUCAGCUGCCACCCAGCCUUUGGCCACAAGCACCGGUGGGAGAAGCUAAGGAGGAAGUGGAUGAGCUGAAGAAGCCAGUGUUCUGUGGUCUGCUUACUGGAUCCGCUAGUCCAGCGAUACCUGACGUCAAACAGUUCAGCACGUAUGAGGAACUUCUGAAAGCCACUGCUCAAUUGAUGCACGGGGCGGCUACGGACACCAGUCACCCUGAUGCUGAUGAUUUUCGAAGGGCAGAGCUGGCCCUACUUAGACAUUCUCAGAUGGAGAGCUUCCCGAAAGAAUUCACAUUGCUUAAAUCAGAGAAGCUGAUUCCAUCCAGUAGCAGGCUAAUUACCCUCGCUCCUGAGUAUGACAAGGCUUCUGACUUGAUUAGAGUUGGAGGUCGACUCCGCAGAUGUGAAGGCCUGAGCCCUGAGGUACUACACCCUGUACUUCUAGAGCUCGCUCACCCAGUUACGAAGCUUCUAAUCCAGCGAUGUGACAAUAAGCUCAACCACCCGGGAGCUGAACGUGUUUUCGCUGAGUUGCGCCGGAAAUACUGGAUCUUAAGGGGGAGAGAGGCAGUCAGAAGACAUCAGCAUUACUGUCCCGAAUGCAAGAAGUGGAGAGGUCAACCAGAAGUCCCGAAAAUGGCAGAUUUGCCGCCCUCAAGUUUGAGGCUCUUCCGACCUGCUUUCUAUUCAACUGGAAUGGACUGUUUCGGCCCUAUGCUCAUUAAAGUGGGUCGGCGCACAGAAAAAAGGUGGGGCAUCCUUUUCAAGUGUCUUACUACUCGAGCAGUUCACCUGGAUCUGCUGGUAAACAUGGAUGUUGACUCCUUCUUGAUGUCACUCAGACGGUUCAUAGCCCGUAGAGGGAAGCCGUUUGAACUCCUUUCAGACCAGGGUACCAACUUUCGAGGUGCAAGUAAGGAACUACAAGAAGCAUUCACUGCCCUCACACCAGAUCUUAGACAGCAACUGGCGGCAGAACAGAUCCGAUUCUCUUUCAAUCCCCCUAGUGCUCCACACUUUGGUGGGUCUUGGGAGAGAGAGGUGCGAUCUGUGAAAACCGCCCUGCGCACCACGUUGGGAGCGCAGAUAGUGUCAGAGGAAGUGCUGAGGACUGUCCUGCUUGAGGUGGAGAGUAUACUCAACUCCAGGCCUUUGGGUUAUGUUUCUUCAGACAUCGCAGACCCAGAUCCCAUCACGCCCUACUCUUUGUUGAUGGGGCGGCCAGAUUGCUCUCUACCCCAAGUGUUCUAUCCAGAAUCCGAGCUGCUCAGUCGUAAGAGGUGGAGACACACUCAAGUCCUGACUGACCAAUUCUGGAAGCACUUCUUACGGCAUUUUAUGCCCACCUUGCAACCACGGCAGAAAUGGCACAAGGAAACAGACAACAUUGCAGUUGGAUCUGUAGUUCUCAUUGUUGAUCAGCAGACCCCACGAGCGCUCUGGCAAAUAGGAACUGUGAAAACUAUCUUACCAGGGGCUGAUGAUCGUGUCAGAGCUGCAGUCGUUCAAGUAAAGGACCGAACUUACACUCGCCCAGUGGCACGGCUCAUCAGGUUGCCUGUUCUACCCCAGGAUUCUGCUUAGGUGCAGAGGACAUUCCACCAAGGUCAAAUUUGUACACCAAAUUUGGGGGCGGCUGUACAAAAGGGUUAGGUUUGUGUAUGGGAUUCCCUAUGCCCCCUGAAUGCACCAUGGGUGCGCAUGUCCGCAGCUUUAGUUCAGAGACAAACGGCAGCCGAACAACGGGCAGUGUGUGCGUUCAUAAGACCGUAAGUUAAUGUUUUACUUCACUCAGUUACGUUGGGGUUCAGCCAUGAGCGUAUUUGAUGACUUACCAGCAGUUUCUGCUUCUGUUUAAGUGAUGUUAUGUAUCAGUGGCAGUUCGCUAGCAUAACAGAUUUGUUCGCUAAUUAGCUGCUAGCAGGGAGAUUCGUUGUUAUCAUGUUGUUGAUUCUGUGCUCUGUGUAACAGAUGAUGAACCAAUGUAAAGUUGCCUUCAGUGCAUAGUUAAACCACACACACACACACACACACACACAAUACAAAGACUGAGAACUUUAUUCCUGGACUCUGCCUGUUUGUUCUUCCCACAUCUGAACAUUUGCAAGUGUUCUGACCCGACACUCUGAAGUGAUUGCUGCCAGCUCAGAUUUCCUUAACCCUUCUA